UGUAUCCUUCACGGCCCAACGUAUCCCAAGAUCCUUCACGGCCCAACGUAUCCGAUUCAUUGCGCACUCAAUCAAUGGAGAUGGCGGAGAAUGGCGAUUUAAGUUCUGCAUUUAAAUGGAGCCAGCAGCAUACUGCUCGAUUUAUUAUAUUGAGGGGUGAGAACGAUGAGCUGUUCACCGGGGUGAAAUACUCAGCAAGUGUGGCUUGGGGGUAAAGAAACAAUCGUUUAUUUAUAUCGAUUGCAAGUAUCCAGGGUCAGGAGAGGGGGUAGGUGGGAAACCCACUGCUGCCACUUGGCCCUGGUUUUUCCCCAUGGAUAAGGUAUUGGGACAGAGGCAUUCCACCAACCCCCCUGUCCUAAUUGCCUCCAUCCCUGAGAACACACCAGGGCCAAGUACAGCAAGUACAGCAGUGGUGG